GUGAGGAAUUUUCCGCAAUGGGCGAAAGCCUGACGGAGCAAUGCCGCGUGAAGGAUGAAGGCCUAUGGGUUGUAAACUUCUUUUCUCAGAAAAGAAUUAUGACGGUAUCUGAGGAAUAAGCAUCGGCUAACUCUGUGCCAGCAGCCGCGGUAAGACAGAGGAUGCAAGCGUUAUCCGGAAUGAUUGGGCGUAAAGCGUCUGUAGGUUGUUUAAAAAGUAUUCUGUCAAAGAUUAGGGCUUAACCCUAGAUAGGCAGAAUAAACUUUUAAGCUAGAGUUUGGUAGAGGCAGAGGGAAUUCCCGGUGGAGCGGUGAAAUGCGUAGAUAUCGGGAGGAACACCAAAGGCGAAGGCACUCUGCUGGGCCAAUACUAACACCGAGAGACGAAAGCGAGGGGAGCAAAUGGGAUUAGAUACCCCUGUAGUCC
rnacentral:rRNA from 1 species